rnacentral:tRNA from 1 species
AAUAUGAUGCCUGAUAAAAGGAUAGUUUUGAUGUGACUAAUUAUGUAAAAUAGUUUACUCAUAUUA